GGGCCAGACUCCUACGGGAGGCAGCAGUGGGGAAUAUUGCACAAUGGGGGAAACCCUGAUGCAGCGACGCCGCGUGAGCGAUGAAGUAUUUCGGUAUGUAAAGCUCUAUCAGCAGGGAAGAAAAUGACGGUACCUGACUAAGAAGCCCCGGCUAACUACGUGCCAGCAGCCGCGGUAAUACGUAGGGGGCAAGCGUUAUCCGGAUUUACUGGGUGUAAAGGGAGCGUAGACGGCAGUGCAAGUCCGGAGUGAAAGCCCGGGGCUCAACCCUGGGACUGCUCUGGAAACUGUAAAGCUGGAGUGCGGGAGGGGCAGGCGGAAUUCCUGGUGUAGCGGUGAAAUGCGUAGAUAUCAGGAGGAACACCGGCGGCGAAGGCGGCCUGCUGGACCGUAACUGACGUUGAGGCUCGAAAGCGUGGGGAGCAAACAGGAUUAGAUACCCCCGUACA
rnacentral:rRNA from 1 species